ACAGGGGCCUUGGUCCUUCCAUUGAUUCAUAAGUACAACACCCUACUUCUUGGAUACAGAGCCAUCGCGGAAUGUUCGCUGGAGUGAGGCAGCGUAUGGAGCACAUGGGACAUGCAGACCCAGAUGGACAUCUUACAAACUUUCAGAGGAGCUGAAGCCAGAUUGUUCUUACAAAUGGUCACCAGAAGGAGGACAAUCACAAACUGUCUCAUCCUCCUCUGCAAAUCCAACAGAAAGGACACAGUAGAGUGGGCAAGAAUGCAAAGAAGGUCUGUGGUUUGGAACUGGCCCAAGCCGAACUAAACUUUUCUAAAUAUACAUUAAACUGUCAACAAAGAGCACCGUGACCCACAGCCUGAAUAAAGGGAGAGCCCCAAGGCCCUCUGAAGCCACUAGUUCUGUGAGUUGUUUUAGGGAGAAGACAGACAACCAAGAAUUAUUUACCUUAUUAGACUGUGCCCAUCCAAGCCCAGGUAAAACUUUUUGAUCAGCAGAAAACUGGAAUUAUUUCCCUUUCUCUAUCCUGGAUUGAGUGUGAAUUCCCCAGAGAAACUUGGCUUUGAGAGCACUAGCUGGACAUAUAGGGGUCCAUUUCCAAUCUGCUCUGAGAAGGGCCCUGUCUUCAUCCUAAAGGAAGGCUUUAGAAAACUGUUAUCUAAGAUCUAGGAUUGAAGAUGGUGAGAACCUGAGGCUGAGCAAUUGGCCCCAAUUCUUCCUGAAGCAUUAUCUGAGAGAGAGAGCCUAGCCUGUGGUUUUUGACCCCUGGCAGAAGGGUGGAGAGAGGGAAGAAGAAAGAAGGAAGAUGAAGACAACUUCCUGCUCAAGACCAACCCAUCUCCCCUCAUUCUGGGGUGACCAAUUGAGAAAACAAUGAUAUCUCCCUUACUCUCAUCUGUUUCCAAAGGCUUUGCUUCAUCUACCAAAAAACCGUGUGAGUGAGAACCAUCUACCCUCAUGUGCUUAUUAAGCUCUUAGAGUCAUUCUCUGGUGACUAUAUUGAUUCAUUUAUUUGUACUCUAGGAACAUAAAACAAUAUGGCAUUAUUGACACAGAAAACAAAGAAUAGACAGAUAGCAUACAGCUGAACAACUUUAAUUACCAGGGUUCCAGUGUCUGUUUAACUAGCUGUGUAAAUAUGAGUAUUUGAAUUAAUUUUUCUAGGAUCAAUUUCCUUACUUCUAAAUGAGAAAGACGAGGCCAAAAGUUCUUAACCUUACUUCUGGCUUUACAACUGAAUGGUUCUCUGUUCCUAAUAAUGAGUUCCUUUUUUUUUUUUUUUUCUGAGACGAAGUCUCGCUCUGUCACCAGGCUGGAGUGCAGUGGCACAAUCUUGCUCACUGCAACCUCUGCCUCCCGGGUUCAAGCAAUUCUCCUGCCUCAGCCUCACGAGUAGCUGGGACUACACGCGCCUGCCACCAUACCCAGCUAAUUUUUGUAUUUUUAGUAGAGACAGGGUUUCACCAUGUUGGCCAGGAUGGUCUUGAUCUCUUGACCUCGUGAUCCGCCGGCCUCGGCCUCCCAAAGUGCUGAGAUUACAGGCGUGAGCCACCGCGCCUGGCCCUAAUAAUGAGUUCUUAUGAAUGGUAUAUGUACGCCAAAUAGAAAGCAUGCUAAUAGCUAAGAAGGAAUCGUGAAGGAUAAUGAGAAUUUGCUGCCUUUUCUAGUCAUUCUAGAGGAAUUUAUAAAUAAAUAAAAUGGUUUGAUAUGUAAGAAUAUCUGCUGAGCCAAACAGUGCACACUUCUUAGACAUAAGUUGUAGCCAAGGCAAUAAAGCUUAAGGAUGGAAUAGAAGCAUUAAGGAAAAUUUUCCUAGAAAGGAAAAAAAUGGAGGCAGAAAGGGUGGGAAAGGCAGACAGAAGUCAACUCAUAGGAAGCAGAGAGAUAAAGAGCUUUGAAAUAUAAUGUGAGGACCUAGACAUAUUUGAGAAGAGAGGUACUGGUCAAAACAAAGGACAGAGAUGGCAGAAGCCCACAGGAAACUUAUGGCCAAUGGUAGCAGUCAGUGAGGAUGAGUAGGGUAGUAAUAAUAUAUUAUAACUAAUUACUGCCAUUUAUUGAUCACUUACUAAGUAUUAAAAUUAUUUGUUAGGAAAUUUAUAAAUACCUUGUCUCCUUUCUAGAACUCUCUCCAAAGGAUAUGGUCAUAUUCAUCAUAUAGAUAAGUAAACUAAGGCUCAGGAAAAAUGACUUCCUCAAGGGCAAACCCAGGUCUGUCUGUGCUAUUUUUACUAUACCGUUGCUAUUUGUCCAUGAACAGGAAAAACCCUCAACUAGGGCCUUGAGCAAUCAAGAAUUAUUGGAAGGAAAAAUCGUUACAGGUAACCACUGAUAAAUCAGAUGGAACAAUCACUUUUUGAGCAAAGGGAUUGUGUCCUCUUUAUCUGCGUGUUCCCUGCAUUUAGCCCAGGGUCUAGCAACUUGUGAUAGACAAAGAUGUGUUAGAUCCCCCUUCAAAAAAGGACUUGCUGCUCAGCUGCUGGGGUGCAGUCAGCCUCCAGCCUCCAAUCAGCUCUGUAAGAGCUGGCCUCAGCUGUAAAUAAAAACUGCUUCAUUUCAGGUCAUGCUGGUAUCCAAUAACUGAGAAAGGAGUUGGGGGUAGGGGCAAAGAGGGGAGAGUGAAGGGGACAAAGGCCUGAAGCUAAUCAGGGACCCCUCUGAUGGCCAAUUCUGACUCCAGAGCUCCCUAUCAAGUGGGCCAAGUUCUUCUCAGCCCUACUCUGGAUAGUGACUUCUCCCUUGGCCCAAUUCUGUCUCUACCCACUCCUUUUCACAGGUGUUGAUCCCUAAUGAAUAUCCGGCACCCCGCAUUCCAUCUCGGUGACUGCUUCCAGAAAACACAAGCUGUGACAUGCCCAUUAUGUACUCAAUAAAUCUUUAAUAAUUGAGUGGAUAGAGUGAUGUGAGUUGAGAAGCAUUAUUAAAGAUUAUUUUCCCAAAAAUAAACAAAAAAAAUGUGCCCAUUGAAAAAAAAAAAAAAAA
rnacentral:lncRNA from 1 species